UACGAAGGGUGCAAGCGUUGUUCGGAAUUACUGGGUGUAAAGGGCGUGUAGGCGGAUUAGUUAGUUAGUGGUGAAAUCCUUGGGCUCAACCUGAGAACUGCCAUUGAUACAGCUAGUCUGGAGUAUUAGAGAGGAUGACGGAAUAUCCAGUGUAGAGGUGAAAUUCGUAGAUAUUGGAUAGAACACCGGUGGCGAAGGCGGUCAUCUGGCUAAUUACUGACGCUGAGGCGCGAGAGCGUGGGGAGCAAACAGG
rnacentral:rRNA from 1 species